rnacentral:rRNA from 1 species
GACGAACGCUGGCGGCGUGCUUAACACAUGCAAGUCGAACGGAAAGGCCCUGCUUUGGUGGGGUGCUCGAGUGGCGAACGGGAGAGUAACACGUGAGUAAACUGCCCUUGACUAUGGGAUAACUUCAGGAAACUGGGGCUAAUACCGGAUAGGAGCUCCUGCUGCAUGGUGGGGGUGGGAAAGUUUCGGCGGUUGGGGAUGGACUCGCGGCUUAUCAGCUUGUUGGUGGGGUAGUGGCUUACCAAGGCUUUGCCGGGUAGCCGGCCUGAGAGGGUGACCGGCCACAUUGGGACUGAGAUACGGCCCAGACUCCUACGGGAGGCAGCAGUGGGGAAUAUUGCACUAUGGGCGGAAGCCUGAUGCAGCAACGCCGCGUGCGGGAUGACGGCCUUCGGGUUGUAAUCCGCUUUCGCCUGUGACGAAGCGUGAGUGACGGUAAUGGGUAGAGAAGCACCGGCUAACUACGUG